rnacentral:rRNA from 1 species
AGUCGAACGGGCACCUUCGGGUGUCAGUGGCAGACGGGUGAGUAACACGUGGGAACAUACCCUUCGGUUCGGAACAACUCAGGGAAACUUGAGCUAAUACCGGAUACGCCCUUACGGGGAAAGAUUUAUUGCCGAAGGAUUGGCCCGCGUCUGAUUAGCUAGUUGGUGAGGUAACGGCUCACCAAGGCGACGAUCAGUAGCUGGUCUGAGAGGAUGAUCAGCCACACUGGGACUGAGACACGGCCCAGACUCCUACGGGAGGCAGCAGUGGGGAAUAUUGGACAAUGGGCGAAAGCCUGAUCCAGCCAUGCCGCGUGAGUGAUGAAGGCCUUAGGGUUGUAAAGCUCUUUCGACGGGGACGAUAAUGACGGUACCCGUAGAAGAAGCCCCGGCUAACUUCGUGCCAGCAGCCGCGGUAAUACGAAGGGGGCUAGCGUUGCUCGGAAUCACUGGGCGUAAAGGGCGCGUAGGCGGCCAUUCAAGUCAGAGGUGAAAGCCCAGGGCUCAACCUUGGAAUUGCCUUUGAUACUGUUUGGCUUGAGACCGGAAGAGGUAAGUGGAACUGCGAGUGUAGAGGUGAAAUUCGUAGAUAUUCGCAAGAACACCAGUGGCGAAGGCGGCUUACUGGUCCGGUUCUGACGCUGAGGCGCGAAAGCGUGGGGAGCAAACAGG